rnacentral:tRNA from 1 species
GCGGAAGUGGUGGAAUAGGCAGACACGCAGGUUUUAGGUACCUGUGCCCUCGGGCGUGCGGGUUCAAGUCCCGCCUUCCGCACAA